CGUGGGCCAUGCUGCUCUGGGGAAGAGCAGCGUGCAUCCAGAAUGCCGUGCCUGCCCCCGGGGGCAGCUGCCCACCACCGCGGUUUUGUGCUGCACUUCAUGCUGCCUGCACAGCCUGCAGCCCCGGCUGUCGGCGCUGGGAGGGAGCAACAGGAUAUGUGGUGGGUGAAAUCAGACGCGCAGCUCUGGGGACAGAGAUGUCUCUUGAGCCACAGCUCUCCUCCCUGCUCAGCCCUGCGGGGACGGAGGGUGGGUGCACGCCGGGUGUCGGUGCCCGACCUCCUGGCUGGAUGUUUUAACCACCAGCAGAGAAGAGGAGCAGAAAGACCGACGUGGCUCGCACGUAGGGCAGGGUAUGGAUGUUCCUUGCUGCAGGAAGGAGGGUGACAGUGGGAGACAGGAGAAGGCUGAUCCAUCCUUGGAAGGAAACAAGGAAUAAACUGGGGACCCUCAUUUGCCAGGACAUCAUGGCUGAAGCGAUGCCAUGACAGGCACUGCCAUCAGCUCUCUUUCUCUCUCUCCAUGGAUCCAGGGAUUAUGCCAUUGGCAGAGAUGCACAGAAAUACUUUCCCAUUAGUUUUCACGAUGGAAGCAUCCCUUUGCCCCAUAUGCUACAACAUAAUGUGGCAUCCCUGACCCUUGUCUGGCAUCAUCAAUGUACUCUCAGCAUGGAAGGUGCAGAUAUCAGGGGACUGAGCUAAUUUUCUCAGGCAUAAAAGCAUCUUUUUAUUAUUGUUU